UACCUUUUGCCGGCAGUUGUUCGUUUUGAAGGGCUUUCACACAUGGAAAAACGACACGACAGAUGUAGGUACAUACAUACAUACAUACAAGAAGAAUUACUGUGAUGGGUUGGAAGUUGUUGUUUCAUGCAAUUAUAUGCGUGAAGCACACCUGACUGACGUCGUUCCUCGCAUUUCCUCACCGGACCGAGUGCAUGCAGAUGGGCGCCCGGCCGUAGCGGGUUUCAAAAGGAUGGAUCUGAUUCGAGAUGGACGCAGUUCCCGGGCACCGUUGGAAGAAGUAGUUAGGCUAACGCUCUUCUCGAUCUUAUAAUACUAGUAUUUCACAAUCCAGCG
rnacentral:sRNA from 2 species